CAGCUAGUGACCACCACCCACUGCUAGCCAUGUGAAUUAGACAUCUAGACCUUCUAGCCCUCCCAGUACCCCAGCCAUUGCUACAUGAGGCAGAAGAAGCACAUGGUUGAUACAUAGAAUUAUGAAGAAACUCAUAUUACAGAAGAGUGAGGUUGGAAUUCUGUGAUGAUCCUGCAUUCAAAGGACAAUUUGAAUUGCUGACAUUGGAAAAAGAGCAAUUGGAAGUAGCAGGAGAAGGAAAAGCCAUCAUCAUACAACUGGUAGAAAGAAAGAAGGUUAGUGUGAAAAUAAUCACAGGCAGCAGAAAGUGGCCCCAGAAGCCAUGUGUUGAGAUAGUAGAAUCUCAAGAUAGACGCAUAUUGGCUCCCUGGAUCGCCACUUGGAAGGGAGUUUCUCUGGAGAACCAUGGGUCUUGCAGUGGACUCUGUUUCCCAAGAGUGAGAGUCUGAUUGGCCAACCUCAUUCCUGGGCUUCUGCCAAGAACAAUCACAGCCGACCUGCGCGUCAUGCAGAGUUUUCAGUCACAUCAUGUGAGAUGAACGUCUGCUCACUUCUUUCAAAUCCGUCACUUCGCUUACACACAUCUAUAAUCGUUCGAGUCUUACCAUCUCACAUCUGGAUUAUUGAGGAAGCACAACCGGAGGGAACGGCUGAAUUGUGAUGCAGGAAGGAGGAGGAUGCAGGAGAAACGGAGCCGAGUGUCAGCAGAGGGAGCCCUGUGCCUUGUUCAUCUGUGGCACAUCCUACAGCACCAAACACGGUUCUCUGGACAUGGUGGUUCAUCACUGGACGAUUGUUACUGAAUGAAUGAAACUUCUCGCUAAACA